UCCGGGCCGGCGGUCUACACAUGCAAGUCGAACGGUAACAGGAUGUGCUUGCACAUCGCUGACGAGUGGCGGACGGGUGAGUAAUGCUUGGGAACUUGCCUUUGCGAGGGGGAUAACAGUUGGAAACGACUGCUAAUACCGCAUAAUGUCUACGGACCAAACGGGGCUUAGGCUCCGGCGCAAAGAGAGGCCCAAGUGAGAUUAGCUAGUUGGUAAGGUAACGGCUUACCAAGGCGACGAUCUCUAGCUGUUCUGAGAGGAAGAUCAGCCACACUGGGACUGAGACACGGCCCAGACUCCUACGGGAGGCAGCAGUGGGGAAUAUUGCACAAUGGGGGAAACCCUGAUGCAGCCAUGCCGCGUGUGUGAAGAAGGCCUUCGGGUUGUAAAGCACUUUCAGUUGUGAGGAAAAGUUAGUAGUUAAUACCUGCUAGCCGUGACGUUAACAACAGAAGAAGCACCGGCUAACUCCGUGCCAGCAGCCGCGGUAAUACGGAGGGUGCGAGCGUUAAUCGGAAUUACUGGGCGUAAAGCGCACGCAGGCGGUUUGUUAAGCUAGAUGUGAAAGCCCCGGGCUCAACCUGGGAUGGUCAUUUAGAACUGGCAGACUAGAGUCUUGGAGAGGGGAGUGGAAUUCCAGGUGUAGCGGUGAAAUGCGUAGAUAUCUGGAGGAACAUCAGUGGCGAAGGCGACUCUCUGGCCAAAGACUGACGCUCAUGUGCGAAAGUGUGGGUAGCGAACAGGAUUAGAUACUCUGGUAGUCCACACCGUAAACGCUGUCUACUAGCUGUGUGUGUCUUUAAGACGUGCGUAGCGAAGCUAACGCGCUAAUUAGACCGCCUGGGGAGUACGGCCGCAAGGUUAAAACUCAAAUGAAUUGACGGGGGCCCGCACAGCGGUGGAGCAUGUGUUUAAUUCGAUGCAACGCGAAGAACCUUACCUACACUUGACAUGCUGAGAGUUACUAGAGAUAGUUUCGUGCCUUCGGAACUCAGACACAGGUGCUGCAUGCUGUCGUCAGCUCGUGUCGGGAGAUGUUGGGUUAAGUCCGCAACGAGCGCAACCUUGUCUUAGUGCCAGCUUUAAUUGGGCACUCUAAGGAACUUGCGGUGACAACCGGAGGAAGGGGGGACAACGCCCAGCACACUGGGCUUACCGGUGGGGCUACCCCGCGCUCAAGGGCUUUUUCAAAGGAAACGUGACUAUGUAUGUAGGCAGCACCCUCCACGAAAGAUGCCGAACCCGUGUAGCUGCGACCCACCCUCCUCUGUC
rnacentral:rRNA from 1 species